rnacentral:misc_RNA from 1 species
ACCUCAAGUGAGUGGUCAAACUACACUGGUGUUGCUGCUGGAAGAUAAGUUUUAAAUCCUUCCACCAAGGAGAACUGUCACCACUACCUCUACCAUGUAAUAAGGCAUGCCAUCCCCCAUAUAAAGACACUAAAAUUCUAGCCCACAGCUGCUGAGGAUUGUUUGCCAACUGCCACCCCCAUUUUCCUAACAAGGCUUCAUUGAACUUGUUCAAAUCUUUAAUACCCAAUCCACCUCUAACUUUAGGUAAACAGACUGUAUCCCAUUUAACC